GCAUGAUUCACAAACAGAAAAAAAACGUAGAAAAACGUUUUAACUGUUUUUUUAUCAUUUACUUUUUAAACUUUUCAGAAUGCUAAGGAAAUGCUACCUGUCUAUCAAGAAACAUUGUCAUUCUAUGACACCUAUCCAAAGGUUGAGGAUAUCAAUGUGUAUGGGUUUUUGUGCUACGUUUUCUCACAGUGUGGGGUGGGUUACCACAGUGACUGAAUAUUCAUGUUGCGUUGUACAAAAACCCUCAACAUAAUUUCUAUGUUCAGAACCUUUAAAAGUCAACAAGGCACCAGACACUACUGGACAAACAAAUUGCACUACAGUUUUGGUAAGUAAUUAGUUCAUUAUCUUUGCAAACAUGGCAAUAUAUGUAGUUAUUUGUUCAAGUUGGUCUUAGCCUUAGUUUUACAACUUUGAUUAUGAAAGUGUGAAAAUAUUUUUUUAAAGCUUAAGCAUGUCCUAGGUUGCCAUCUUGACUCUGCAAUUAGUCCCUAACUGUAUUUGGAAGUGACAUAACGCUGUAAUUAUACAAACCAGAUGUAAGAGGUUUUUGUACUGACAUGUUCCACAGUGCAGAUAAACUGACGUUUGGAAAAGCUAUCAAUCUCAUUGUUGAACCCAAAGGAAUUGCUGCCCGCCCAACACUCUCCAUCCUCACCCCACUACACAAGAGUGGGGAUGAUGACCAGCCUAAGGUGUGCCUGGCUACAGGCUUCUUUCCUAGUACGAAAAACAUGAAUCUGAUCCUGGGGAAUAAUGAUACUGUCCAACUCAGCACAACCAAGGCAGCUUUAUCUUCCACACGUACCUACUUCUUUGCCGGAUUCUCCAAAGAGAAUAUCAAGCGUUGUGAGAUGGAUGGCAACGUCGAGCCGCCCGUUGAUGAUAAAGAUGAUUCUACAGAUGUGUCUAACUAUAACACCACGGCUACAACUGCUUCUGUCAAUUGCAAAGAUGAACCCCUCAACAAUGUUACUACCACCAACUAUACCGAUUAUACCAAGAUGAACUUCACAUCCUUGGUUGUGUAUGGUUUGAGAGUGCUGUUUGCCAAAGCCGUGGCAUUUAAUGUGCUAUUUACUGUCAAGGCCCUGGUGUUCUAGACAUUAUUUCACUUGGACUCCUACUUUUCAGUUCUGCUUUGCAUCCAGUUUGUCAAACCUGCCUUGUGGUUUUAUCAAGAGCUUCAACAAUAUUAGUAUCUGACUUCUUCAGGGUUGAAUGCUGCAAUACCUCUGCUUACAUUUUGGAAAUACUAGAUACUAAAUACACAUGUAAUGCAUGUGAUUAUUUGCUAUUGAACAUUAGAUUACAUUUUAUGUUCUAUAUCAUUUUAUAUUAUGUUAUAUUAUUUCUAUUUACAUGUAUUAUAUAUUUAACUGCAAGUUGUCAUCAAGUGUAUAAAGACUCCAAAAAUGAUUUCAAACAAUAAUGUCAUUGUACAUUGAUCAAGUUAUGUACGUGGAUACCUUGCAGUUGUUUCUAAAUGCACAAAACCUGUCAAUAGAGAAUUUAAACCACAUUUUCACCAGUACAUUGAAACCAUAUGAACAGUCAAACCAAAUGAACAGAUAAAGAUCUAUCAGACACCUUGACUUCCAAGAAAUGGCUCCAUCAGUUACUUUAUUUGCAUGCGUGCUCAAGAAGUGACAAUAGCGAGAAACACACAUGAUAGUGAGAAACACACACCUUAUAAUGGUUGAUGAAUUGUAUUAUGAAAAUAAUUUGCAAUUACAUGUGUGUCUGAUAUCAGUCAAACAUUUUUAUUAUCGUAUAUGGGAGCUGUAAAUGUAUUGAAAUAAACAGACACAGCUUUUUUUAUUCUAAUCUAAACCAUUAUGAACGUGAAAAGGUGGAUGUCUAUCAAAUGACUAAAAUGGUUGGAAAGUAGUUGUCAGACUCCGGUUUACCAGAAACAUUUGCUUCGGACUAUUCAUUAGGCCUUCAGAUUUAGUAGAGAAGUGCACAUUUUAAAAUAUGAGAUGAUGUUGCCCUCUGCUGGUUGUAAAUGUAUUUUUCUCCGUUGACAUUGUGACCACUAAAUCAGCUGGGCUCAGUUUUUCAAACGUUAUCUGUCUGGAUUUUGCCUAUUGGAUAGGAUUAAAUGCAUAGAAAUAGACUGACAGGAAUGGGAAUCCCCAUUCAAGUCAACGAUUUGUCCAUUCUAUUCAUUCUAUUUCCAUGCACUUAAUCCUAUCCGAUAGGCCAAAUCCAGAAAACGUUUGAAAAACUGGGCCCUGGGUGUUGCUUCACUGCGUGUAUCUUAUUGUAUUUUCUUGAUUCUUCAUGUCCUUCCUCUUUGUCUCCUUCUGGUUCCUUCUCCUCUGAUGCGUUUUGAGAAGGAGGCAUAGAGAGAUGAUGUGAGGGAAAAAUGUCAUGCAGUAUUGUGUUUUCAGUUGUGUAUCUUCUAUAUGAUCAAUUGAACCACUGUAAUACAUUUUGCUUGUGAAUUUGCAGCUUUUUGGUGUUCAAGUGUUUUAUUAAAUGAAUAAAUACAUCAUAUUUUUCAUGUUAUUGGUACAUUUUGGUGGAGAUGCACAUGUAGUACACAUCUAGAGGCCCUAUAAGCACUGGUCAAAAGUACUUCACUAUAUAGGGAAUAGGGUUCCAUUUGGGACUCAACCUGAUCUUUUCUCCACACACAUGGUCGAGUAGCCAACAACUGGUCCUAAAAACUAUAGUGUUGAAAGUCUAAACCUUUCCUAGGUCUACCUGAUCUCUUUCAACACUGAGACUGGCACACAAGACCAAGGUCUACCUAAUGUAGGCCACAGGUGAGGCUUUGAAUUUGUGGUCUCUUCAGUGGAGCAAUGUAGGCCAGUAGGUCAAAAGUAUGUACAUUAUAUAUCUGAUAUCCUGAUCAUUUCCUGCAAGACAAAGAUGUAUGAUAAAGAGAAGUAUAAAUGAGUCCUGAAUGGAAGAACAUGCCGGUAUUCAGCAAAGAGCACACAAAGACUUAAAGGUACUUUAUUUCAUUACAGUUAUCCAAAGAUCAUAUAUUAAAUAUUACACAUUAAUUUGAAACACAGUUUAGAGGUGCAGUGGCUAUGUAUGUAUCUAAGACAAUGUAAAACAAUCAAGUAAUGGUGCAUUGGUGACACUAACUGUGUUUGUUUUGAGAGUUUGCAGUGAGAGCUUUUCCUCAGCCAAGGACUUCAUUUCUCAAAGGAACAGAAGAGCUGCAGUCAU
rnacentral:lncRNA from 8 species